UGGGGAAUCUUGGACAAUGGGGGCAACCCUGAUCCAGCCAUGCCGCGUGAGUGAUGAAGGCCUUAGGGUCGUAAAGCUCUUUCGCCUGUGAAGAUAAUGACGGUAGCAGGUAAAGAAACCCCGGCUAACUCCGUGCCAGCAGCCGCGGUAAUACGGAGGGGGCUAGCGUUGUUCGGAAUUACUGGGCGUAAAGCGCGCGUAGGCGGACUGAUCAGUCAGGGGUGAAAUCCCGGGGGCUCAACCCCGGAACUGCCUUUGAUACUGUCAGUCUUGAGUCCGGAAGAGGCGAGUGGAAUACCGAGUGUAGAGGUGAAAUUCGUAGAUAUUUGGAGGAACACCAGUGGCGAAGGCGGCUCACUGGCUCGAUACUGACGCUGAGGUGCGAAAGUGUGGGGAGCAAACAGGAUUAGAUACCCUGGUAGUCCACACCGUAAACGAUGAAUGCCAGUCGUCGGGUAGCAUGCUAUUCGGUGACACACCUAACGGAUUAAGCAUUCCGCCUGGGAGUACGGUCGCAAGAUUAAAAGCUC
rnacentral:rRNA from 1 species